GAUGAACGCUGACAGAAUGCUUAACACAUGCAAGUCAACUUGAACUUCGGUUUGGGUGGCGGACGGGUGAGUAACGCGUAAAGAACUUGCCUCACAGAUAGGGACAACAUUUGGAAACGAAUGCUAAUACCUGAUAUUAUGGUUUUAGGGCAUCCUAGGAUUAUGAAAGCUAUAUGCACUGUGAGAGAGCUUUGCGUCCCAUUAGCUAGUUGGAGAGGUAACGGCUCACCAAGGCGAUGAUGGGUAGCCGGCCUGAGAGGGUGAUCGGCCACAAGGGGACUGAGACACGGCCCUUACUCCUACGGGAGGCAGCAGUGGGGAAUAUUGGACAAUGGACCAAGAGUCUGAUCCACCAAUUCUGUGUGCACGAUGAAGUUUUUCGGACUGUAAAGUGCUUUCAGUUGGGAAGAAAAAAAUGACGGUGCCCCCAGAAGAAGUGACGGCUAAAUACGUGUCAGCGCCCGCGUUAAUACGUAUGUCACAUACGUGUUCCGAGUUUAUUGGGCGUAAAGCGCGUCUAGGUGGUUAUGUAAGCCUGAUGUGAAAAUGCAGGGCUCAACUCUGUAUUGCGUUGGAAACUGUGUAACUAUAGUACUGGAGAGGUAAGCGGAACUACAAGUGUAGAGGUGAAAUUUUAGAUAUUUUUAGGAAUGCCGAUGGGGAAACCACUUU
rnacentral:rRNA from 1 species